ACCCGUCUUUUCGUCUUGUUUUCUUCUUGUUCGAGCAAUAAAGCUUGAAAUGGAAUAGAAAACAUAUUAGUGAGUGUCCUUGAAGAUAAAGAAGAUGUCUGAUGUGACAACGGAGCUGGAAGAUCCGAAAUCAAACUCUCAACGCUGGCGGUUACCUGAUAAUCGAACGGCAUCUGGUGCCGUUCGAUUAUAUUUAUGAUCAUGGAGUUGUUGGUGCCUAGUCAAAGAGGCAAGGUGUCUGGUUAAGGCAUGAUGUUGAUGAAGAACAUCAAAAUCAAUUAGAUAUGAUAUGUCAUGGAUCAAAGAAUGUUUUUAUAUGAAAUAUGAGUGACGCUAGCGAAGUGGAAACUAAACUUAUAUAGUUUCUAUUUUAAUAUUUGUGUAGGUAGUAGCAUGUAGUGGUAUUUCUAUUUCAUGAGAUUUCUAUUUCAUAUGUUCAAGAAGUUCAUGUAGUUAGCUGCACCAUACAUAUUACGAAUAAUUUAGAGACCCAAAUUACCAUGUUAUUAGCUCAAUUUUACUGAUCCAUUUUAUUGAUCUACUUUAAUUCGAAUAAUAUACUUUUUCACGGUUUUUGUUUUUGCUAUACUGUGUAUUGUUGAUGUUUUCUUACUGCUUUUGUAAAUUUAUUAUUUUUUAAGUAAUAAAUGGUCAGGAAAUCGUAAAGUAAAUAAUUUUAUAAUAACUAUUAAUACUAAAAUAAUUCAGAAUUUCUGACUCGUUCAAUCAUUCAGAAUUUCUGAGUCGUUCGAUCAUUCAGAAUUUCUGAGUCGUUCGAUCAUUCAGAAUUCCUGAGUCGUUCGAUCAUUCAGAAUUUCUGAGUCGUUCGAUCAUUCAGAAUUUCUGAGUCGUUCGAUCAUUCAGAAUUUCUGAGUCGUUCGAUCAUUCAGAAUUUCUGAGUUGUCAAUUUUGUAUGUGGGUUUUGUAUAGUUUGCACUUAUCAAAAAAUAAACGUUUAGAAAUAUG